GGGUUAAUAGUUAAUUUUAUAAUAAAAGUCUUGUAAACUUUAGUGGGCUUAGUCCUUAACCCU
rnacentral:tRNA from 1 species